rnacentral:rRNA from 1 species
UGGGGGAUAUUGCACAAUGGGCGAAAGCCUGAUGCAGCGACGCCGCGUGGGGGAUGAAGGCUUUCGGGUUGUAAACCUCUUUCGCUAUCGAACAAGGCCCGCUUAGGGUGGGUUGAGGGUAGGUGGAGAAGAAGCGCCGGCUAACUACGUGCCAGCAGCCGCGGUAAUACGUAGGGCGCGAGCGUUGUCCGGAAUUAUUGGGCGUAAAGGGCUUGUAGGCGGCUUGUUGCGCCUGCUGUGAAAACGCGGGGCUUAACUUCGCGCGUGCAGUGGGUACGGGCAGGCUUGAGUGUGGUAGGGGUGACUGGAAUUCCAGGUGUAGCGUUGGAAUGCGCAGAUAUCUGGACGAACACCGAUGGCGAAGGCAGGUCACUGGGCCAUUACUGACGCUGAGGAGCGAAAGCAUGGGUAGCGAACAGA